UAAGGAAUAUUGGUCAAUGGACGCAAGUCUGAACCAGCCAUGCCGCGUGAAGGAUGAAGGUCCUCUGGAUUGUAAACUUCUUUUAUCUGGGACGAAAACGGGAUUUUUAUCUCAAUUGACGGUACCAGAGGAAUAAGCACCGGCUAACUCCGUGCCAGCAGCCGCGGUAAUACGGAGGGUGCGAGCGUUAUCCGGAUUUACUGGGUUUAAAGGGUGCGUAGGUGGGCUUAUAAGUCAGUGGUGAAAUCUCCGAGCUUAACUUGGAAACUGCCGUUGNUACUAUAGGUCUUGAAUUAUCUGGAGGUAAUCGGAAUAUGUCAUGUAGCGGUGAAAUGCUUAGAUAUGACAUAGAACACCAAUUGCGAAGGCAGCUUACUACAUAUAAAUUGACGCUGAGGCACGAAAGCGUGGGGAUCAAACA
rnacentral:rRNA from 1 species